rnacentral:rRNA from 1 species
UACAUGGGGUGCAAACGUUGCUCGGAAUCAUUGGGCGUAAAGCGCGUGAAGGCGGUUACUUAAGUCGGAUGUGAAAGCCCUCGGCUUAACUGAGGAAGUGCAUCCGAAACUGGGUAGCUAGAGUACGAAAGAGGGUCGCGGAAUUCCCGGUGUAGAGGUGAAAUUCGUAGAUAUCGGGAGGAACACCAGUGGCGAAGGCGGCUUUCUGGCCUGUUCUUGACGCUGAGGCGCGAAAGCUAGGGGAGCAAACAGG